CCUACCUUUGUGGAAAUUGUUAAGAACUAAUGGCCCCAUCCUAAUUGUUGAUCCCAAAUAGGGGGGGAAAAAUUAUAGAAUGUACUGACUCUGAAAUCAGCUGGGAACAUACAAAUGUUCUCCGUUUUGUCUCUCGAAUAGCAUGAAUGGUUGUGGGAGCCUCUGAACCUACCCAGUGGGCCAGAAAAGAUGCAUUGUCACAUGUAGAAGUAAAACACUUGCUCCUGUGUAUCCUUCCACUUAAGAAGAGAGUUCAGAAAGCCAACUUGAGAGACAGAUUCACAUGAGUUAUGAAAAAAUUUAAGAUGCCGUCAUUGUUUUUGCUGAUGUGCUUGUUAGCAGAUGGAUGAGUUUCCAAGAAUGAUAUGGGAGCAACUUCCUGGUUGUGGCAGAGCAGCGUGAUGUGGAGGUGAGCAGAUCAUUGGGAUCGCUGUGGAGACUAUUUUCUGAAAGUGAGAAUCUGCAAAUACCUUGUGGUCUAUUAAAUGCAAAGCCACUCAGGCAAAUGACAAGAUAACAUAUUUGGAAUGGGUGUUGUUCUGGAAAAUUCCAGACUUAUGUCCUCACGGAACAAAAGACUGAGACUUGGGGCUUUAGUGCCUUGUUCAGCCCCCCAUCUUUUUCUGAAGAGAGAAGCUCUGGGAUAACAGCUGAUGGAGAAAUGCUUGGUUCUGGAAGAAAACAGAUCCCUGAAGCUGACGGAAGAUUCUGAGAGGAAAGAAAUGGGGGGAGAGAUGUUAUCAGACAAAAAGGAAAGGGGGAGAGGAUGGCCGGCUGAGCUGGAGUGGAGUGAGUCAAGAGAGAGACAUAAGAGAGAUGGCCAUUUUGACCGGCAAGUGGCCAAGACUCUAACUGAGAAAAGGACCAAAGAAUAGGACUGUGAGCGUGUUUUCUUGACCUUUGUGCUUUUCUGUGUUUUUAAAGUUCUCUACCGAGCACUAUUGAA